UACGAAGGGGCUAGCGUUGUUCGGAAUUACUGGGCGUAAAGCGGCACGUAGGCGGGUUGUUAAGUCAGGGGUGAAAUCCUGGAGCUCAACUCCAGAACUGCCUUUGAUACUGGCAACCUAGAGACUGGAAGAAGGUUAGUGGAAUUCCCAGUGUAGGAGGUGAAAUUCGUAGAUAUUGGGAAAGAACACCAGUGGCGAAGGCGGCUAACUGGUCCAGCA
rnacentral:rRNA from 1 species